UACGUAGGGCGCAAGCGUUGUCCGGAAUUAUUGGGCGUAAAGAGCUCGUAGGCGGCUUGUCACGUCUGCUGUGAAAUCCCGGGGCUCAACCCCGGGCCUGCAUUCGAUACGGGCAGACUAGAGUUCGGUAGGGGAGUCUGGAAUUCCUGGUGUAGCGGUGAAAUGCGCAGAUAUCAGGAGGAACACCGGUGGCGAAGGCGGGACUCUGGGCCGAUACUGACGCUGAGGAGCGAAAGCGUGGGGAGCAAACAGG
rnacentral:rRNA from 1 species